rnacentral:rRNA from 1 species
UACGUAGGGUGCGAGCGUUAAUCGGAAUUACUGGGCGUAAAGCGUGCGCAGGCGGUUCGUUGUGUCGGCGGUGAAAUCCCCGGGCUCAACCUGGGAAUGGCCGUUGAAACUGGCGAACUGGAGUGUGGCAGAGGGGGGUGGAAUUCCGCGUGUAGCAGUGAAAUGCGUAGAUAUUCGGAAGAACACCAGUGGCGAAGGCGACUUACUGGAUCAUGACUGACGCUGAGGCUCGAAAGCGUGGGGAGCAAACAGG